GACGAACGCUGGCGGCGUGCUUAACACAUGCAAGUCGAACGGAAAGGCCCUGCUUUUGUGGGGUGCUCGAGUGGCGAACUUGUGAGUAACACGUGAGUAACCUGCCCUUGACUUUGGGAUAACUUCAGGAAACUGGGGCUAAUACCGGAUAGGAGCUCCUGCUGCAUGGUGGGGGUUGGAAAGUUUCGGCGGUUGGGGAUGGACUCGCGGCUUAUCAGCUUGUUGGUGGGGUAGUGGCUUACCAAGGCUUUGACGGGUAGCCGGCCUGAGAGGGUGGCCGGCAACAUUGGGACUGAGAUACGGCACAGACUCCUAUGGGAGGCAGCAGUGGGGAAUAUUGCAUAAUGGGAGGAAGCCUGAUGCAGCAAAGCCGCGUGCGGGAUGAGGGCCUUCGGGUUGUAAACCGCUUUCGCCUGUGAAGAAGAGUGAGUGACGGUAAUGGGUAAAGAAGCACCGGCUAACUACGUG
rnacentral:rRNA from 1 species